CCCAUGAGUAAGCAUAUUUUAUAAAUUAUUGUUGUUACAAUUUUUUACUAAAAAGCCUCUGCCACUAAUUUUAAAAAUGAAUGCACUGGGUUCUUAAGGUGGUUUAUAAAGCAUUAUGCAUCACUUCCCUAUGAAAUAUUUUGUGAUAUGUUCACCCUUCAGCAAUGCACACAAUACACACUCAUACAUAUACACACAGGAAUGCAAGCUCCUAGAAGACAACAAUUGUGUCAGUUUUAUCUUUGUAUCUCUAGUCCCAAAUAUAUUACAUUGUAUGUUGUAGGCAUAUGAUAAACAUUUUUUUUAAUCAAACUGAAUUUCAAUGAGUCAAACUCUUCAACAACAGAGUGAUUUCCUGGUGCUUCUUGUUACUAAACUGUUCCCACUCCUGUAGCUACAUCCAAAGCUGGAAUCCUAAAGAAUUUUGGCAAACUAGUUAAAAUAUAGGAGAUAAUAUAUUGUUACCAUCUGAGUUCCUACAAAUUUAAAGAAAUGAGCAAAAGUUGAUGACAGACCCAGAAAUAAUAACACUAGCAUCUUCUGCAGUGGAUUUUUUUCUAGUAUGCUUAACUGAGCCACCCAUGAAGGCCAAAGCUAUUAUUUUGGAACUUGGAGUGUUCAAAUUGUCAAUUAUCUCUUAGCUACUUCAUGUCAAACCCUGGCCUCGGUUUUGUCAUAGUAACAAAAAAGUAGAAAGAAUAAGUCAAAGAGCAUCACUAGUACCAGGGCUUCAAAACCAGAAAGUCUACAUAUUUCUAAUUUAUUUUGAAUUCUGGAUCUAGACUAGGGACUAAAUUGACAGAUUCACUCUACAGACCCUAGAAAUGAAGCUAAAAAAAGUGAAGCAAAAAUGAAACAAACAAAAAAGCUUCCUUCUGAGAUAUCUUUCCCUAGUUUUCACUGUUCAGUUGACAGUUCCAUAGGUAAAGUAAUUAUGACUUUUAGUGUUUUUGUUCCCUUCCCUUUUAUUUUCUUUCACCCUCUUCCUCCUCCUCUUCCUUCUCUUCUUCUUCUUCUUCUUUGUUUCUUUCCUUCUUUCUUUUCUUGCUUGUAUUUAUUUUUUUUAUUAAUUUAUUUAGUCAAUUUAGAACAUCGUUCCUUGGUUACAAGAAUCAUAUUCUAUCCUACCCUACCCUCUCCCCACCCUUCCCAUAGUCAACAGGCACAAUUUCACUGGGUAUUACAUGUGUCCUUGAUCAGAACCUAUUUCCAUGUUUUUGAUGUUUGCAUUAGGAUGUUCCUUUAG
rnacentral:lncRNA from 1 species